UACGUAGGGGGCAAGCGUUGUCCGGAAUCAUUGGGCGUAAAGCGCGUGUAGGCGGCUCGAUUAGUCCGCUGUGAAAGUCGAGGGCUCAACCCUCGAAUGCCGGUGGAUACUGUCGGGCUAGAGUGCGGAAGAGGCGAGUGGAAUUCCUGGUGUAGCGGUGAAAUGCGCAGAUAUCAGGAGGAACACCUAUUGCGAAGGCAGCUCGCUGGGACGUAACUGACGCUGAGACGCGAAAGCGUGGGGAGCAAACAGG
rnacentral:rRNA from 1 species